rnacentral:misc_RNA from 1 species
GAAAUGCGAUAAGUAAUGUGAAUUGCAGAAUUCAGUGAAUCAUCGAAUCUUUGAACGCACAUUGCGCCCAUUAGUAUUCUAGUGGGCAUGCCUAUUCGAGCGUCAUUUCAACCCUUAAGCCUAGCUUAGUGUUGGGGGCUUACAGUUAUGUAACUCCCUAAAGUCAGUGGCAGAGCUAGAUUGUCUCUCAGCGUAGUAAUUUUUUCUCGCUUUUGUAGAUGGUCUUGUGCUAGCCAUAAGCCUAUUUUUCUAAUGGUUGACCUCGGAUUAGGUAGGAAUACCCGCUGAACUUAA